rnacentral:rRNA from 1 species
GGUUAAGCGACUAAGCGUACACGGUGGAUGCCCUGGCAGUCAGAGGCGAUGAAGGACGUGCUAAUCUGCGAUAAGCGUCGGUGAGGUGAUAUGAACCGUUAUAACCGGCGAUUUCCGAAUGGGGAAACCCAGUGUGUUUCGACACACUAUCAUUAACUGAAUCCAUAGGUUAAUGAGGCGAACCGGGGAACUGAAACAUCUAAGUACCCCGAGGAAAAGAAAUCAACCGAGAUUCCCCAGUAGCGGCGAGCGAACGGGGAGCAGCCCAGAGCCUGAAUCAGUGUGUGUGUUAGUGGAAGCGUCUGGAAAGGCGUGCGAUACAGGGUGACAGCCCCGUACACAAAAAUGCACAUACUGUGAGCUCGAUGAGUAGGGCGGGACACGUGGUAUCCUGUCUGAAUAUGGGGACCAUCCUCCAAGGCUAAAUACUCCUGACUGACCGAUAGUGAACCAGUACCGUGAGGGAAAGGCGAAAAGAACCCCGGCGAGGGGAGUGAAAAAGAACCUGAAACCGUGUACGUACAAGCAGUGGGAGCCUCUUAAUGGGGUGACUGCGUACCUUUUGUAUAAUGGGUCAGCGACUUAUAUUCUGUAGCAAGGUUAACCGAAUAGGGGAGCCGAAGGGAAACCGAGUCUUAACUGGGCGUUAAGUUGCAGGGUAUAGACCCGAAACCCGGUGAUCUAGCCAUGGGCAGGUUGAAGGUUGGGUAACACUAACUGGAGGACCGAACCGACUAAUGUUGAAAAAUUAGCGGAUGACUUGUGGCUGGGGGUGAAAGGCCAAUCAAACCGGGAGAUAGCUGGUUCUCCCCGAAAGCUAUUUAGGUAGCGCCUCGUGAAUUCAUCUCCGGGGUAGAGCACUGUUUCGGCAAGGGGUCAUCCCGACUUACCAACCCGAUGCAAACUGCGAAUACCGGAGAAUGUUAUCACGGGAGACACACGGCGGGUGCUAACGUCCGUCGUGAAGAGGGAAACAACCCAGACCGCCAGCUAAGGUCCCAAAGUCAUGGUUAAGUGGGAAACGAUGUGGAAGGCCCAGACAGCCAGGAUGUUGGCUUAGAAGCAGCCAUCAUUUAAAGAAAGCGUAAUAGCUCACUGGUCGAGUCGGCCUGCGCGGAAGAUGUAACGGGGCUAAACCAUGCACCGAAGCUGCGGCAGCGACACUAUGUGUUGUUGGGUAGGGGAGCGUUCUGUAAGCCUGCGAAGGUGUACUGUGAGGUAUGCUGGAGGUAUCAGAAGUGCGAAUGCUGACAUAAGUAACGAUAAAGCGGGUGAAAAGCCCGCUCGCCGGAAGACCAAGGGUUCCUGUCCAACGUUAAUCGGGGCAGGGUGAGUCGACCCCUAAGGCGAGGCCGAAAGGCGUAGUCGAUGGGAAACAGGUUAAUAUUCCUGUACUUGGUGUUACUGCGAAGGGGACGGAGAAGGCUAUGUUGGCCGGGCGACGGUUGUCCCGGUUUAAGCGUGUAGGCUGAUUUUCCAGGCAAAUCCGGAAAAUCAAGGCUGAGGCGUGAUGACGAGGCACUACGGUGCUGAAGCAACAAAUGCCCUGCUUCCAGGAAAAGCCUCUAAGCAUCAGGUAACAUCAAAUCGUACCCCAAACCGACACAGGUGGUCAGGUAGAGAAUACCAAGGCGCUUGAGAGAACUCGGGUGAAGGAACUAGGCAAAAUGGUGCCGUAACUUCGGGAGAAGGCACGCUGAUAUGUAGGUGAAGUCCCUUGCGGAUGGAGCUGAAAUCAGUCGAAGAUACCAGCUGGCUGCAACUGUUUAUUAAAAACACAGCACUGUGCAAACACGAAAGUGGACGUAUACGGUGUGACGCCUGCCCGGUGCCGGAAGGUUAAUUGAUGGGGUUAGCGGUAACGCGAAGCUCUUGAUCGAAGCCCCGGUAAACGGCGGCCGUAACUAUAACGGUCCUAAGGUAGCGAAAUUCCUUGUCGGGUAAGUUCCGACCUGCACGAAUGGCGUAAUGAUGGCCAGGCUGUCUCCACCCGAGACUCAGUGAAAUUGAACUCGCUGUGAAGAUGCAGUGUACCCGCGGCAAGACGGAAAGACCCCGUGAACCUUUACUAUAGCUUGACACUGAACAUUGAGCCUUGAUGUGUAGGAUAGGUGGGAGGCUUUGAAGUGUGGACGCCAGUCUGCAUGGAGCCGGCCUUGAAAUACCACCCUUUAAUGUUUGAUGUUCUAACGUUGGCCCCUGAUCGGGGUUGCGGACAGUGUCUGGUGGGUAGUUUGACUGGGGCGGUCUCCUCCUAAAGAGUAACGGAGGAGCACGAAGGUUGGCUAAUCCUGGUCGGACAUCAGGAGGUUAGUGCAAUGGCAUAAGCCAGCUUGACUGCGAGCGUGACGGCGCGAGCAGGUGCGAAAGCAGGUCAUAGUGAUCCGGUGGUUCUGAAUGGAAGGGCCAUCGCUCAACGGAUAAAAGGUACUCCGGGGAUAACAGGCUGAUACCGCCCAAGAGUUCAUAUCGACGGCGGUGUUUGGCACCUCGAUGUCGGCUCAUCACAUCCUGGGGCUGAAGUAGGUCCCAAGGGUAUGGCUGUUCGCCAUUUAAAGUGGUACGCGAGCUGGGUUUAGAACGUCGUGAGACAGUUCGGUCCCUAUCUGCCGUGGGCGCUGGAGAACUGAGGGGGCUGCUCCUAGUACGAGAGGACCGGAGUGGACGCAUCACUGGUGUUCGGGUUGUCAUGCCAAUGGCACUGCCCGGUAGCUAAAUGCGGAAGAGAUAAGUGCUGAAAGCAUCUAAGCACGAAACUUGCCCCGAGAUGAGUUCUCCCUGACUCCUUGAGAGUCCUGAAGGAACGUUGAAGACGACGACGUUGAUAGGCCGGGUGUGUAAGCGCAGCGAUGCGUUGAGCUAACCGGUACUAAUGAACCGUGAGGCUUAACCUU